GUGCUGCAUGGGCAGCACAUGUGCUCAAACCGGAACAAUUCAGAGAUGAUUAGCAUGGCCCCCGAGAAAGGAUGACCCGCACAUUCAUGAAGUGUUCCGUAUUUUU